rnacentral:rRNA from 1 species
CAACUCGCCUGCAUGAAGUCGGAAUUGCUAGUAAUCGCAGAUCAGCAUGCUGCGGUGAAUACGUUCCCGGGCCUUGUACACACCGCCCGUCACACCAUGGGAGUCGGUAACACCCGAAGUCAGGAGCCUGACCUUUUUAGGAGGGCACUGCCGAAGGUGGGGAUUGAUGACUGGGGUGAAGUCGUAACAAGGUAAC